GGCUGCAGCCCGGGUCGGAGACGCAUUUCCGCCGGCUCUGAGCGGGCGGGCUAGUCUGCUGGUCAUCUCUUGCGGUCUCCUGAAAUCCCCAGACAUUCACAUCUUCCUGCAGUGUCGGCUCUGUCUCCACUGCUGUCCGGCACUGCCGAUCGCGGGGCCUGUGUGAGUCCACUGCAGGGAGAGCUGGACGCGUGGUCUGUGCCACCCCCAGUGACGUGAUACUAAGGCCCGGGGGGGCGCGUAGAGCCCAGGCCCGGCUCCCGAUUGCAGGACUGCCACCUCUUCCGGGUGUGGACCUUUUGGGGUUCGCGUCCUCGAGAAAGGGGCCUCAGGUCACAGGCUGGUGCGGGCGUCGGGUCGCCGUACUUACCCACUUCGUGGGGCAGCCUUGUGCCCGCUAACGGCCAGAAACCGGUCCCACGAUGCUUGGGCACAAGAUACCGCAGCGAGGCGUGCGGAGCCGCGUGUGAUCCCGGGCCUGACGGAUGCUAGGGCCCCCUGAUUUUCACUGCCCCCACCCACCUCAUACUCAAGGCAUUUAAUCCUUAAAGCCACUCAUCAGUUGCCUACAAAGUGUCUCUAUGACCCUUCCAGGGCCCCAGAAUCUGUAUUCCAUCCCCUGUUCUGCGCUAAAGCCGCUUCCCCGUGCGUUUCUCUGCCUAGGCCUUGUGUCUUUGUAGCUCUUGGGGACAGAUGACUCUCCCUCGGAAGGCUUUGCUUGCGGGCUCUGCACCAGCCGACGCCCCCUCCUCUCCUGCAGGACCCUGAUCUGUGCUGCCGGAUGCGCCCCCACUGUGUCCAGGGGCUGAGGCAGUCCCCUGGGAGUAUCACAUGACUGCCAUUCCUUGUGCGUUAGAGAUGUCCUCAGGGAGAGCCUGGAUUGUGAGGUCCCAGGGCCAGCCCUGAGUACCCGAUCAUGGCUUGUCUCUUGCAUAUGGGUCUGUGUAUGCAGAGGCACCGUGGGAAACGUCAGUCACCUUCAUAUCAACUGGGACGCUAGACCAUGGGGCCUGGAGAAUUUUGUGUUGCAGACAGGGCACCUAGAUGUGUAGUGAGCCAUCACCAGAGGGCUGACCUUCUGCCUUUUGUUCUGUGUGCUGUGUGUUCUGUGGGAGGCAGAAACCCGCGACAAUGCUUUCACUUCAUAGACUCAGAAGAUGCAACGUGGUGCCCCUGAGAGGCAUAUCUUGGCCAAGGUGAAGUUGGAGGUAAGGGCAAGGUUGGGAUCCUGUUUUGCCAGAUGUUUUUGUUCUCGUCUCACGAUGAUGUGAAUGUAGCGAGAAUAAUAUAUGUGAGCUUUCUGGUCAGCCUUAGGUUGGAGGCUGUUGAAGGAGGUCCCAAGGCCAUGAAUCAGUGACCCUUGGGAUGAUGUGGGACCUGCGUUUGCUAUUAUCUCUCCCCAAGGUGAGUUAAUGCCAGGGGCUGGGAACCCUUAGCCAGAGGAUAAGCUGGUUUGUGUUUAUGGGAACUCCAAAUCAUUGGUUCCACUUUCCUUUCCUUUAUAUUCUUAUGAUGUUUGUGGACACCAGAGGGGCAGAGAAUGGUGAGGGAGGUCCCUCGCAUGAAGCAUGAGCUUGUCUUCUCUGCCUGUUCAGAGCAUCAUGGAGGAACUCUUCACUCUGCACAAGAGAUCAGAGGGAAAGCGCUGGCACUGGGGGCUUGGGGACUUCAACUGGCCCUGAGUCUUAACAGUACCCUCAGAGGGCCAUGGACAGGGAAGGCCAGCCCCAUGUCCCUCUGCCAUGCCUGAAAUGACUUUCAUAACCUAGAGUUUUUCUCUUGAAUUUUUAGCUGUGCAUCACUUUCCUCUUCACCCACCGAUUCAAUGCACCUUACGAACUUGCUCUGUCUGCCUUUUAAAUCAGUAACAAGCCAUGUGCCAGCAAGGCUGAGCGUGGACAAAGUGGGUCACAGGCCAGAUCUUGUUUUCACUCCUUGAGCCUUUCCUGUCACGCUCCUGAGGUUUGGCACAUAGGCUACUGUUUGGAGUGUUUAGUUAGGAUGAGGAAGUAAACAAGCGAUGGUAGUUGGCUCUGAUUUAGGACCCGUGAGAGUUGAGGAACAGUCAGGCCAAGGCUUAGGAAGGGUGGCUGGUGACAUAGUGGACUCGAGUGAGACAGUGCUGAUGUCAUUGAGGAAGCUGGAGUGGCCUGGAGUUCUGGGGCCUGACUCAUAAGUAAAUGCUGCUGUGUGACUUACUGUCCUAGUUUGCCUGGGAUUGAGGGGUUUCUCAGGUCAUGGGACUGACCCCAGGCAAACUGGGAUAAGUUGGUCAACUUAUCUGGGAUGUAAAAUACCUGAUGUCAACUUGAGAGGACAGGUUACUGAGUAAAGGUGAGAGCAGGGUGAACGUGGGGCAGCUGCCAUUGGUGGACCUUGGAUGGCGUCCUCAAGGUCAGGCUUUUAGAGAUAACUGGAGUAAAAUCAGGAACUGCCACCAUGUGAUGAUGUGCCAUGGAUAUGCACAUGUGAACUUUUUAAUCCCAUUUUACAGCUAGAAGGGUCUACAUGAGGAAAUAUGUCCCAAAGGCUAUGAUGAAAGGCUGAAGUUAAUUGUCCAAUUUCUGUAUUUGAAACUGAAAACCACUUUGGCUGGGCUGAGGUAGAAUUCAGGCUGUCAAGUCUGCCUUGAUGAAUUCGACACCUCAGUGGCCUUCACCGCAGGGGCGGGCAUUCUUCAUGGUCGUAAUGUUCCACUCUGCCGGCCAUUUCUCGGGAGAGGCAUCCAGAAGUUGAAGUUUCUUUUUCUGCCUUGCCCUUCUCUUUAAGACCUACCCAAGGGCCAUCCUCUGACUUCUUUUGCUGCUUUUAGUCAGCUGGUCAUAACUGCCUGAAAAGAUACCAAGAUAAGGAAUCUGGGCCCACUUGAGAAAGUUGCAACUGGUUUUUAACGUCUGCUCCUGUGGUUCAGACAGCAGCAGAAACGUGGGCCAAUACUUAACAGGUCGGCCUGGAGACACCAUGUCCUCAAUCCUGCCUCGCUCCACUGCAGUAUCUGAAGUAGGAGCUAUCCCAGGUCUUCAGGACAUCUGAGAAGAGCAUUAUAAGCAAGGUGUCCCAAGAACCAGGAUUAAGGUCAAGGAGGCAUGAUCCUUGCCUGGAAACUGCUGGGUACCAGAAGGCCUGGUUGAGUAGCUAGUGGGAGAUUCCAUAGCAGGAUCAAGAGUCAGGAGAAUGGAGAGAUGGACAGAUUGAAAGUUCAUUCAUUAAAAAGAAAUUAAGCUAUUUAUGAGCCAGACACCAUGCUAGAAAUAGGAGUAUAAUGGUAAAUAAGACAGUUUGAUCCCUCAAGGGCAUCACCGAUAAGUAU